rnacentral:sRNA from 1 species
UCUUAGCCCCGAUUGCAGUAAAAAUCCUUUUUUUGAAAAAAAAGAUUGCAGCGGAAAGCGGGAAAAAGC